GUGCUUAUGAUGCGAAUUUAAUUAUCUUGGCGGAUUUCAGUGAGAUCCUAGUGUCAAUGAUCUGAUUGUUACACACACUGAAGCCC